UGCAAGUCGAGCGCGGGAAGCGAGUGGAUCCCUUCGGGGUGAAGCUCGUGGAACGAGCGGCGGACGGGUGAGUAACACGUGGGCAACCUGCCUGUAAGAUCGGAAUAACCCCGGGAAACCGGGGCUAAUGCCGGGUAAUACUUUUCUUCGCAUGAAGAUAAGUUGAAAGAUGGCUUCUCGCUAUCACUUACAGAUGGGCCCGCGGCGCAUUAGCUAGUUGGUGAGGUAACGGCUCACCAAGGCAACGAUGCGUAGCCGACCUGAGAGGGUGAUCGGCCACACUGGGACUGAGACACGGCCCAGACUCCUACGGGAGGCAGCAGUAGGGAAUCUUCCGCAAUGGACGAAAGUCUGACGGAGCAACGCCGCGUGAACGAUGAAGGUCUUCGGAUCGUAAAGUUCUGUUGUCAGGGAAGAACAAGUACCGUGCGAAUAGAGCGGUACCUUGACGGUACCUGACGAGGAAGCCCCGGCUAACUACGUGCCAGCAGCCGCGGUAAUACGUAGGGGGCAAGCGUUGUCCGGAAUUAUUGGGCGUAAAGCGCGCGCAGGCGGUUCCUUAAGUCUGAUGUGAAAGCCCACGGCUCAACCGUGGAGGGUCAUUGGAAACUGGGGAACUUGAGGACAGAAGAGGAGAGUGGAAUUCCACGUGUAGCGGUGAAAUGCGUAGAUAUGUGGAGGAACACCAGUGGCGAAGGCGACUCUCUGGUCUGUUUCUGACGCUGAGGUGCGAAAGCGUGGGUAGCAAACAGGAUUAGAUACCCUGGUAGUCCACGCCGUAAACGAUGAGUGCUAGGUGUUAGGGGGCUUCCACCCCUUAGUGCUGAAGUUAACGCAUUAAGCACUCCGCCUGGGGAGUACGGCCGCAAGGCUGAAACUCAAAGGAAUUGACGGGGGCCCGCACAAGCGGUGGAGCAUGUGGUUUAA
rnacentral:rRNA from 1 species